AUUGAACGCUGGCGGCAGGCCUAACACAUGCAAGUCGAACGAGUGGCGGACGGGUGAGUAAUGUCUGGGAAACUGCCCGAUGGAGGGGGAUAACUACUGGAAACGGUAGCUAAUACCGCAUACAAUCGGAGUGGCCCAGAGGGGAUUAGCUAGUAGGUGGGGUAACGGCUCACCAAGGCGACGACCCCUAGCUGGUCUGAGAGGAUGACCAGCCACACUGGAACUGAGACACGGUCCAGACUCCUACGGGAGGCAGCAGUGGGGAAUAUUGCACAAUGGGCGCAAGCCUGAUGCAGCCAUGCCGCGUGUAUGAAGAAGGCCUUCGGGUUGUAAAGUACUUUCAGCGAGGAGGCGUUACUCGCAGAAGAAGCACCGGCUAACUCCGUGCCAGCAGCCGCGGUAAUAC
rnacentral:rRNA from 1 species